rnacentral:rRNA from 1 species
AUUGAACACUGGCGGCAGGCCUAACACAUGCAAGUCGAACGGUAACAGGAAACAGCUUGCUGUUUCGCUGACGAGUGGCGGACGGGUGAGUAAUGUCUGGGAAACUGCCUGAUGGAGGGGGAUAACUACUGGAAACGGUAGCUAAUACCGCAUAACGUCGCAAGACCAAAGAGGGGGACCCUCGGGCCUCUUGCCAUCGGAUGUGCCCAGAUGGGAUUAGCUUGUUGGUGGGGUAACGGCUCACCAAGGCGACGAUCCCUAGCUGGUCUGAGAGGAUGACCAGCCACACUGGAACUGAGACACGGUCCAGACUCCUACGGGAGGCAGCAGUGGGGAAUAUUGCACAAUGGGCGCAAGCCUGAUGCAGCCAUGCCGCGUGUAUGAAGAAGGCCUUCGGGUUGUAAAGUACUUUCAGCGGGGAGGAAGGGAGUAAAGUUAAUACCUUUGCUCAUUGACGUUACCCGCAGAAGAAGCACCGGCUAACUCCGUG